UGGAAACCAAUAGAGGAGCCUCG
rnacentral:snRNA from 1 species